CAAAAGGGGGAGGAAUG
rnacentral:rRNA from 1 species